rnacentral:lncRNA from 1 species
AAUGCCCAUGGUUUUGAACUGGGAGACUACCACUACAGCAAUUUUGUGGCUCUCUUCCUCAGGAAUCUGAAAGUACAGGAGUUGGCAGAUUUAGAUGCUGAGAAAAAUAAUAGCACCCCUCUUGUGCUUUCAUUCUUCCCCUUUCGACAAAGAAAAGAAACCUGGAACUCUCAAAAUGACAAUAUUCUUCCCCGUGAAUUGGUUCUACUUCUUUUUGCAAUUGCAUUUUCUCAGGGCCCUGCUACAUAUUUAAUCCUGCUUCCUCCAGUGCCUUCCUUUCCCCACCAAGUGCUGUCCAUGGAGGAGAAAAGCAGAAUUCCAUACAGUUGAUGGGUAAGCAUACUCUUUAUUUUCUUCCCAACUAUUGCAAUCGGAUAAAUCUCUCCACUCCACAAUGACUGAGGAAAGAGGGCUGGUUACAAUGUUAGAAUGUCCUUAUAUAUAAAGAAAAUAUCAAUAGUGAAGAAGGAGCUACUCCCUUCUAAUAUAAUUCAUGCCUGAGCCAUUUCCUGCAAGCAGAAAAUGAUUGGACCAUUCUGAGUUGGUCUACUGAUUAAAAUGCUGGUUACUAACCCUGUAUCCCAUAGCAGAGUGCCUGGAUUCAAUUCCUGGCUCUGGCAUCCAAUUCCAGCUUCCUGCUAAUGUGCAACCCGGGAGGCAGAACAUGAUGGCUCAAAUAAUUGGGUCCCCAUCACCAAUGUGGUAGACUUGGAUUGGAUUUCUGGCUCCUGGCUCUGGCUCCAACUAGCUGCAGUCAUUGUAGACAGCAGGGGAGGGAAGUAGCAAAUGGAAUCUGUCUUUCUCUGUUUGCCUUUGGAAAAAGAAAAAAUUAAAAAGAAAUAAUUUUGUGUUGAAAAAGAAAAGGUAAUGUGGAUCCAUACCACUUGCAUUCCACAGUCAAGAAUUUAUUUCAAAACAAAAUCUAUAUGCAAAUACCACUAGCAGGGUAACUUGAACCUAAGGACAGACACCAACAACUUCUACUGCACAAUUUGUCCUGGUGAUAUAUAUAAGGUAAAUAUCAUAGUUUUCUCCCUUGUGAAAUAGGAAGAAUAAUAAUUCCUACUCAAGUGCUGUUAUGAGGAUUCAAUGAGACA